rnacentral:rRNA from 1 species
UCGCACGCGCUUUCGUUAAUUGAUUUUGAGAUGCUUGCAUCGAAGAUGAUUUUAACUAUAAAGUGAGUGGCGAACGGGUGAGUAACACGUGGGUAACCUGCCCAGAAGUGGGGGAUAACACCUGGAAACAGAUGCUAAUACCGCAUAACAAAAUUAACCGCAUGGUUGAUUUUUAAAAGAUGGCUUCGGCUAUCACUUCUGGAUGGACCCGCGGCGUAUUAGCUAGUUGGUGAGAUAAAGGCUCACCAAGGCAGUGAUACGUAGCCGACCUGAGAGGGUAAUCGGCCACAUUGGGACUGAGACACGGCCCAGACUCCUACGGGAGGCAGCAGUAGGGAAUCUUCCACAAUGGACGCAAGUCUGAUGGAGCAACGCCGCGUGAGUGAUGAAGGCUUUCGGGUCGUAAAACUCUGUUGUUGGAGAAGAACGUGUGUGAGAGUAACUGCUCAUGCAGUGACGGUAUCCAACCAGAAAGCCACGGCUAACUACGUGCCAGCAGCCGCGGUAAUACGUAGGUGGCAAGCGUUAUCCGGAUUUAUUGGGCGUAAAGCGAGCGCAGGCGGUCUUUUAAGUCUAAUGUGAAAGCCUUCGGCUUAACCGAAGAAGUGCAUUGGAAACUGGGAGACUUGAGUGCAGAAGAGGAGAGUGGAACUCCAUGUGUAGCGGUGAAAUGCGUAGAUAUAUGGAAGAACACCAGUGGCGAAGGCGGCUCUCUGGUCUGCAACUGACGCUGAGGCUCGAAAGCAUGGGUAGCGAACAGGAUUAGAUACCCUGGUAGUCCAUGCCGUAAACGAUGAAUGCUAAGUGUUGGAGGGUUUCCGCCCUUCAGUGCUGCAGCUAACGCAUUAAGCAUUCCGCCUGGGGAGUACGACCGCAAGGUUGAAACUCAAAAGAAUUGACGGGGGCCCGCACAAGCGGUGGAGCAUGUGGUUUAAUUCGAAGCUACGCGAAGAACCUUACCAGGUCUUGACAUCUUCUGCUAACCUAAGAGAUUAGGCGUUCCCUUCGGGGACGGAAUGACAGGUGGUGCAUGGUUGUCGUCAGCUCCUGUCCUGAGAUGUUGGGUUAAGUCCCGCAACGAGCGCAACCCUUAUUAUUAGUUGCCAGCAUUAAGUUGGGCACUCUAGUGAGACUGCCGGUGACAAA